rnacentral:tRNA from 1 species
GCGGCUGCUGAGCAGUAACGCAACCUUCCCAAGGUUGAGACGCGGGUUCGAUUCCCGCCAUCCGCUCCA